rnacentral:rRNA from 1 species
UACGGAGGGUGCAAGCGUUAUCCGGAUUCACUGGGUUUAAAGGGUGCGUAGGUGGGUCUGUAAGUCCGUGGUGAAAUCUCCGAGCUUAACUUGGAAACUGCCAUGGAUACUAUAGGUCUUGAAUACCGUGGAGGUCAGCGGAAUAUGUCAUGUAGCGGUGAAAUGCUUAGAUAUGACAUAGAACACCAAUUGCGAAGGCAGCUGGCUACACGAAUAUUGACACUGAUGCACGAAAGCGUGGGGAUCAAACAGG